rnacentral:lncRNA from 1 species
UUUUCCAAGAAUCCAAUCAGAUAUAAAUAUAACAUCAUGCACAUAAAACAGCUGCGAGCAUGCUUCAAACGUAUUUAUGAUUAGGUCAUUCAAGAGAAGAAGAAGAAGAGAGCGAACAGCGUUAGGCAAAUAAGAAAAGCAAGCCGAGUGCUAAGCUCCAAAUUAUAGCUUACAUAUAAAUUAGCUGAAAGCUUCGUCCUAAAGGGCGGCACGUGCAAUGGCGUUAGGCUAAGAAGGCGCGGCCGAAUCCUUUGCUAGUUGAGGCAUAGCUCACAAUUUAACGAUGAAUCUGGCAUUGCGGCGUCAAGAGAAAGGCGAACAUCAACGUGACUGUCGUCCUGCCAAUGAAUGUACAACAGCAGCGAGGUUAUCAAAAGGCAACCGGCUGGUGCCCUAAGAAAACCUUCGGAAGGGGCAGUGAUGUUGGGAGCUUUCAUGUAAAUAGAGGAGAUUUAUACAUAAUUAUUAUUAGACCAAUAAAUAUAGCAAACAAAUAGACAACAGCGGCAGCAACAAAAGCGGCAAAAGCAACAACCAAAUGGCGAGUAACAAAUUGCAGUUGAAUACAAAACUUGGCCUAUUAAGUUUCGUAAUUUAUCCCUAUUUCAGCAAAUAAGAGAAGAACGAGUGAAGCAGGAAAGCAGUGCAGGAUAUGAGAGGAAAAUAUUCAAGAAUGGUGCGUCCACAAAGCUCUUCAUUUGUUUCAUGUUUAAAUGAGAAAGGAACGAAAGUUGAGUUGAGCUUGGAGUCUCAUCUUAGGGCUUUUGUUGCAUGCAUUUGUGUGUACAUUCAGCCGGUGACGCUACCCAGCAAACACAAAACCGCAUACUUUGCAAUGACCAUUGAGAUGCCCAGACUUCUCGUGAGUUGGUCUUCAAAACUGGUUAGCAUUUCAGUCACUCUUAUUCCGUGAGCAUAUUGCUCAGAAUAUUUGAUAAAUUGUUUGGCUUAUUUCAUAGUCUACAAAUAUCAUUGCUUUAAAUCAUUAAAUCAUUGACUUAACAAAUUGAACUUGAAAUCUUUAUGACGUAUUUUGGCGAGAAAUCGUUUGUGCACCAGACUUUGCCUUGGUGAAUCGCGACAUAUUAUUGAUGUUAAAUUCGUCUCGAAAUGGUUUGCUGGAGGAACCUGUCGUGCACUCGAAGGGCUUUAGAAAUACGGCUGUUCCGCUGACCGCACACGUACAUACACAUAUUGAUCUUUAUACUAGUAGAUAUGUACCUAAAAAGAGGCAGUCAACUGUAACUAUUCCAAACUGUUUGCCGUUGCAAGCGAGAUUUGUCCUAAACACCAGAUUAAAUGGCAUACAAAUAUUCAUACAUACUCGUAUGUACACACACACAUAUUUAUUCUUUACCAUUUUCUCUUUUCGGUAUUUCAAUGCGUUUGCUACAACAACAAUCGGCAUAUAAAAAUUACUACGAAUAAUUUUUCAUCGAGGCGCGAGCUACCAAUUUCAGCCACCACCCCAUCGGAAUCUACCUUUGUGUACACACAAAUAUAUGCGCAUACAUCUGCUCUAUAUCACACCUUCCAUCAUUCACUUCGUUGGGUUUUGUCGCCAAGCGCAAGCCCCAAGCCACGGACCACCUGCCGGCGCCUCAUUUCAACUAAUUACGGUGUUUAUGCUGUCGUUGUGGUCGUGCGCACAUCAACCGCAUUUUCAUGACACAUAAAACAGUGUCGAAAACAACAACAGCAACAACAAACAUAGCCAUAACAAUAACAUAACGGCAUAACAACAAUCAGCAACCAGGCAAAGUAACUGCGAAUGUCAAACGAGAACAAUUCAAGACGCGCCACAUGGCGGCAACCCUUUCACAACUGCUUAUAAUGUUGCAUACUUUUGGGUGACUGCUCUUCGAGUUCAGGCACGCCCCCUGCGGCUCCAGCUGCGGAAUUCAGCUGUUUGAACAUAAACGGAACUUGCCACUUGCCACAUUCCGCACGCACUCGCCGACCCUCAGCCGCUGUUUGUGUGUAAAACACUAUCCAAGACGUUUGCCAUCGGUGAAGAAGAAAGAUAAGGACUGAGUCCACAUCACACUCAUGCAACAUCCUUGGCAACGCAACGUGGCGGGCAGGUGUUCAUACUUUAAAGGGAAACUUUUUCAGAAGCGUUUGCGUAAAAGUUAUUUGGAUAAUGGCUUGGCACUUUGGGAAAACAGUGAGCCUGCGAGUAACUGGCAAACAGGGCCUCAGAAAGCGGAUAAGCAACUGAAAUGUGUUGCAGAGUCUGUUGUGCGGCGCGUAAGACCAACAAUGCAAAGAAGUUGCGGGGAGAAGACCCAAAAGUUGUGCGUAGAUUUCCAAAGAAUUAUGACCGGACGAAGUUGCGCCAAAUAGCAGGCAAACAACAGCAAUAAAACAAUAAACGUUUUCGGGCGAAGAGUAGUGAAAGUAAAAUUAAAAGUAAGCAUUUUCAAAGAACAAAAAAGCUCAGACGCCAAGCUCACUCUAGCUGGUUGCGGGGUUGUGGGACAGGAGAGACACAUUGAAAAAUGCGAAUAAUCAGAUUUAAGACAAAGUAUUUAAAGGUCCAUAAAUACAAUUACGAACUUAUGAAUAGCGAAAAUGUUGUUUAAUACAAUAAAUUUUGAGUUUUCUAAACUCACUGCGAAUAACAUGAGCCCCACAAAAUGCACAGGCCCAACAUUGUACUGAGCAGAAGUCGAUCCAGCUUUGGUCAA